rnacentral:rRNA from 1 species
GGGUGAUUAGUGGCGAACGGGUGAGUAACACGUGAGUAACCUGCCCCUGACUCUGGGAUAAGCCCGGGAAACUGGGUCUAAUACCGGAUAUGACUACUGGCCGCAUGGUCUGGUGGUGGAAACGAUUUUUUUGGUCGGGGAAUGGACUCGCGGGCCGAUUCAGGCUGGUAGGUGAGGUAGUGGAUCACCAAGGCGACGACGGGUAGCCGGCCUGAGAGGGUGACCGGCCACACUGGGACUGAGACACGGCCCAGACUCCUACGGGAGGCAGCAGUGGGGAAUAUUGCACAAUGGGCGAAAGCCUGAUGCAGCGACGCCGCGUGAGGGAUGACGGCCUUCGGGUUGUAAACCUCUUUCAGUAGGGAAGAAGCGAAAGUGACGGUACCUGCAGAAGAAGCGCCGGCUAACUACGUGCCAGCAGCCGCGGUAAUACGUAGGGCGCAAGCGUUAUCCGGAAUUAUUGGGCGUAAAGAGCUCGUAGGCGGUUUGUCGCGUCUGCCGUGAAAGUCCGGGGCUUAACCCCGGAUCUGCGGUGGGUACGGGCAGACUAGAGUGAUGUAGGGGAGACUGGAAUUCCUGGUGUAGCGGUGAAAUGCGCAGAUAUCAGGAGGAACACCGAUGGCGAAGGCAGGUCUCUGGGCAUUAACUGACGCUGAGGAGCGAAAGCAUGGGGAGCGAACAGGAUUAGAUACCCUGGUAGUCCAUGCCGUAAACGUUGGGCACUAGGUGUGGGGAACAUUCCACGUUUUCCGCGCCGUAGCUAACGCAUUAAGUGCCCCGCCUGGGGAGUACGGCCGCAAGGCUAAAACUCAAAGGAAUUGACGGGGGCCCGCACAAGCGGCGGAGCAUGCGGAUUAAUUCGAUGCAACGCGAAGAACCUUACCAAGGCUUGACAUGGACUGGAUCGCCGCAGAGAUGUGGUUUCCCUUCGGGGCUGGUUCACAGGUGGUGCAUGGGUUGUCGUCAGCUCGUGUCGUGAGAUGUUGGGGUUAAGUCCCGCAACGAGCGCAACCCUCGUUCCAUGUUGCCAGCGGGUUAUGCCGGGGACUCAUGGGAGACUGCCGGGGUCAACUCGGAGGAAGGUGAGGACGACGUUCAAAUCAUCAUGCCCCUUAUGUCUUGGGCUUCACGCAUGCCUACAAUGGCCGGUACAAAGGCUUGCGAUAUCUGUGCAGGUGGAGCCUAAUCCCAAAAAGCCGGCUUCUUCAGGUUCGGAAUUGGGGGCUAGCAACUCGACCCCAUGAAGUCGGAGUCGCUAGUAAUCGCAGAUCAGCAACGCUGCGGUGAAUACGUUCCCGGGCCUUGUACACACCGCCCGUCAAGUCAUGAAAGUUGGUAACACCCGAA